UGUAGUCAAGUCGCAUCUUCAGAAAAGAAAUUGUUCUCGGCGAUGGUCAUGCAGAUUGCAAGGCAAAAUGGUAAACAUCAUCUUUUCAUAGAUUAAUUGAAAAUAUUUUAACAGUGAUGAAUUAGAGCAAUUGAUCAAUGAUUGUAAUAGUGUCGGAAAAACACCUGCAUCCAGUAGUAAAGCAGCACCAAAUACGUAAACAAAACCAUCUAGAUUACCACCAGAACAUAUUGUAGAAAACCACUUGGUGUUUUCACGAGUCACAAUUGCUAAUACAAAGUUUUAUUAUUUUGUUUGAAAAAGAAAAAAAAUCUAUGUGAACUUUGAAUGUGACUAAAUAAAAGACUUUCAAUCAAA